AGUAACGGCGAGUGAAGCGGUAACAGCUCAAAUUUGAAAUCUGGCCUCACGGUCCGAGUUGUAAUUUGUAGAGGAUGCUUCGAGCAUGGUCUGGCCUAAGUUCCUUGGAACAGGACGUCAUAGAGGGUGAGAAUCCCGUAUGCGGCCAGGUGCCUACGCUCAUGUGAAGCUCCUUCGACGAGUCGAGUUGUUUGGGAAUGCAGCUCAAAAUGGGUGGUAAAUUUCAUCUAAAGCUAAAUAUUGGCCAGAGACCGAUAGCGCACAAGUAGAGUGAUCGAAAGAUGAAAAGCACUUUGGAAAGAGAGUUAAACAGUACGUGAAAUUGUUGAAAGGGAAGCGCUUGCAACCAGACUUGCGCGCGGCCGAUCAUCCGGUGUUCUCACCGGUGCACUCGGCCGUGCUCAGGCCAGCAUCGGUUUUGGCGGCUGGAUAAAGGCCCUAGGAAUGUGGCUCCUCUCGGGGAGUGUUAUAGCCUAGGGUGCAAUGCAGCCUGCUGGGACCGAGGACCGCGCUUCGGCUAGGAUGCUGGCGUAAUGGUUGUAAGCGGCCCGUCUUGAAACACGGACCAAGGAGUCUAACAUCUAUGCGAGUGUUUGGGUGUCAAACCCAUACGCGUAAUGAAAGUGAACGGAGGUGAGAACCCUUAAGGGUGCAUCAUCGACCGAUCCUGAUGUCUUCGGAAGGAUUUGAGUAAGAGCAUAGCUGUUGGGACCC
rnacentral:rRNA from 1 species